UAGGGAAUCUUCGGCAAUGGACGAAAGUCUGACCGAGCAACGCCGCGUGAGUGAAGAAGGUUUUCGGAUCGUAAAACUCUGUUGUUAGAGAAGAACAAGGACGUUAGUAACUGAACGUCCCCUGACGGUAUCUAACCAGAAAGCCACGGCUAACUACGUGCCAGCAGCCGCGGUAAUACGUAGGUGGCAAGCGUUGUCCGGAUUUAUUGGGCGUAAAGCGAGCGCAGGCGGUUUCUUAAGUCUGAUGUGAAAGCCCCCGGCUCAACCGGGGAGGGUCAUUGGAAACUGGGAGACUAGAGUGCAGAAGAGGAGAGUGGAAUUCCAUGUGUAGCGGUGAAAUGCGUAGAUAUAUGGAGGAACACCAGUGGCGAAGGCGGCUCUCUGGUCUGUAACGGACGCUGAGGCUCGAAAGCGUGGGGAGCAAACAGG
rnacentral:rRNA from 1 species